rnacentral:rRNA from 1 species
UACGUAGGGACCAAGCGUUGUUCGGAUUUACUGGGCGUAAAGGGCGCGUAGGCGGCAUGACAAGUCACUUGUGAAAUCUCCGGGCUUAACUCGGAACGGUCAAGUGAUACUGUCGCGCUAGAGUGCGGAAGGGGCAAUCAGAAUUCUUGGUGUAGCGGUGAAAUGCGUAGAUAUCAGGAGGAACACCGGUGGCGAAGGCGCCUAUCUGGCCCCGAUACUGACGUGGAGGCGCGAAAAGCUAGGGGGAGCAAAACGGGG